GAAUCCACCAAUGAUGAGGAGCCGCUCCCAGCAGUGGUCACCAACCAGUGGAGAGUCUUCACUGUGGAUCCCAGUAAAGCUCUGGACUCACUGGCUGAGGUGUGAGGAACAUCGACCUGCAGAGCCAGAUAAACAUUGAAACUGGUGAGAAAGAUCAUUUCACUGUGUUCUGCUGUAAACUGAGCGCAGGACGAGAAGGAAACAGACCAGACCUGGAACAUCUAGAAGAGCAGCGUGGCCUGAACCACAACUGAGCCGCAGCCGGCCCGGUGUAACAUGGACGAGGACAUUUCAGAGCAAGUUGGACCCUCACACACAAAGUA